AAUAAUCAAAGAUUGUUUGGCAGUUUCCGGUUAAAAGUGUCAACAUCCGGUGAAUAAUUUUAGCGGCGAAAACGACUUGUUGUUUGCAGAAAUGAGUUCUGCAAGCAAGGUUGGAGAAAUAUUUACAGCAGCAGGAGUUGCAUUCAAUAAACUUGGUGAUUUAACAAUGCAGUUACAUCCUACCAGUGAACCAAGUCCUACCAGUGGGAAAUGGACUCCUAAAGAGAUAGAAAUGCUUCAGAAUUCAGUUAAAAGAUUUGGAGAUGACUUGGAUAAAAUAAGUAAUAUUAUCAAAACUAGAACAAUAUCACAAAUAAAAACACAGUUAAAAAGAAAAUCUUUUGAAGAAGCUGGUGUACCUAUGCCAACAGAGCAGUCACCGAAAAAAGUUGUAGUGCAAAAACAGACAAUACCAACCCCAGGUGGAGCUGCACAUACAACACAUACUAAAAAACAAAAACACAAUGACAGAUAUGACUACGCACGCUACAAUGGAUGUUACUUUAAGUGCAUUAAAUGCCCCAGAGAGUGACAUAGAUAUUGAAGGGGAUUCAUCAUCAUCCAAGAAGUUAGAAUUUGAUUCAGAUGUGGAUUCAAGUAUGUUGUGACAGAAAGCUAGAAUUAAUUAACUGUUUUCUAAGACAUGGAAGUACACAGAACUCAGCCAUUUUGUUUGGUGUAGUUAAGUGCAAUUGAAGUUGGAUAAACAGACACUGUCAACUUGCUUGUUGAUAUUUACAUUGAAGAUGAAGCAUUUGGACUGAAUUAUCUGAAAUCAUAAGUCUGCUUUGAUAUAUUUAUUUAUUUGUUCAACAGUUGCCAUCCGGAAAGUUCUAGCUAUGCGACAGUCACUUUCAGGACUUUCAAAACUGAUUACAAAAAUGGCAAUCUUUUAAUUGCUGUCAAAUUUAUUUACCUCAUCUUCCCUGAUUCUUAUGUUGUUCAUCUUUUCAUUCAUUUGUCAGGCUUUUUUUCCAGAUAAUCGUUAUUUACACAAAUUUAUUCUAAAAUUACAUGUAAAUUUUUUAAUUUAUCAUGACUUUUUAACUUCUGGUUGAUACUGAAAGUAUUGAUUGACUAAAUACUAAGAGAAUUUUUGUCAAUUUUAACUUGUAUAAAUGUUGUUUUUAAUAUUUUUUUUAGAGGAUACCUUUGUUAGCUUGUUAGAGAAUUUGUCAUCAUGUGUGAAAUUUAAAAAGUAAAUAAAACAUUUGUAUAUAAACAUGUAUAUGGUAUCAUGAAUAAAGGCAAUUUUAAACUUA